AAUGAACGUUGGCGGCGUGGAUUAGGCAUGCAAGUCGUACGGGGCCGCAAGGUACCCGUGGCGCAAGGGUGAGUAAGGCGACGGUAACCUACCCCAGGGCUGGCCAUAGCCGCGGGAAACCGCGGGUAAUAGCCAGCGACGUGUCUGGCAGGCACCUUCCGGCCACCAAAGGUGUGAUUCCGCCCUGGGACGGGCCGUCGUGGUAUUAGGUUGUUGGCGGGGUAACGGCCCACCAAGCCUCUGAGGCCUACCGGGCGUGCGAGCGUCGCCCGGCACACUGGGACUGAGACACUGCCCAGACUCCUACGGGAGGCUGCAGUCGAGAAUCUUCGGCAAUGGGCGCAAGCCUGACCGAGCGACGCCGCGUGGAGGACGAAGGCCUUCGGGUUGUAAACUCCUGUCGAGGGGAAGGAAGGGACGGCGCAGAGCCGUUCUUGACCGCUCCCUGGAGGAAGCACGGGCUAAGUUCGUGCCAGCCGCCGCGGUAACAC
rnacentral:rRNA from 1 species